rnacentral:rRNA from 1 species
AUUGAACGCUGGCGGCAGGCCUAACACAUGCAAGUCGAACGAGUGGCGGACGGGUGAGUAAUGUAUGGGAAACUGCCUGAUGGAGGGGGAUAAAUACUGGAAACGGUAGCUAAUACCGCAUACCAUCGGAUGUGCCCAGAUGGGAUUAGCUAGUAGGUGGGGUAAAGGCUCACCUAGGCGACGAGCCCUAGCUGGUCUGAGAGGAUGACCAGCCACCCUGGAACUGAGACACGGUCAAGACUCCUACGGGAGGCAGCAGUGGGGAAUAUUGCACAAUGGUGGCAAGCCUGAUGCAGCCAGGCCGCGUGUAUGAAGAAGGCCUUCGGGUUGUAAAGUACUUUUAGCGGGGAGGCGGUACCCGCAGAAGAAGCACCGGCUAACUCCGUGCCAGCAGCCGCGGUAAUAC